UUUCUGCUAAACAAAUUAUUCUGCAUGACUCUAAAAUAAUACAAAUGAUUCUGCAGGAUGUUAUUGAUCAUGACCUUUCUGGUUCUCAAAUGCUUCCACAUCUUAGUGGCACUCAGUUGAGCCAAAUGAUGCAAGAGGAGCCUCAGCCUAGCUUGCUCUCACAACAACGAGGGCCAUUGCCAGAUCCUGACUUCAUCAUGACCAACAGACCCAUUGCAAGGUCUGCUCCACUUACAACAGGCACCAAGCAAGGCAAAGCUGCCGCUACAAAGAAGAGAAAGGUGGCAAAGAACACUGAAGUUGCAGCAAGCAAGAAGAACACUGCAGCAAAGAACACUGGAGC